rnacentral:rRNA from 24 species
AAACUUUCAACAACGGAUCUCUUGGUUCUGGCAUCGAUGAAGAACGCAGCAAAACGCGAUAAGUAAUGUGAAUUGCAGAAUUUAGUGAAUCAUCAAAUCUUUGAACGCACAUUGCGCCUGCCAGUAUUCUGGCAGGCAUGCCUGUCCGAGCGUCAUUU